AACCGCCGUAUGCGUGACGCGCAUGUACGGUGGUGUGAGAGGGGGCGGGCCGUAAGGUCCGCCCCUAUCUCGAU
rnacentral:misc_RNA from 1 species